rnacentral:rRNA from 1 species
GGAAUAUUGGUAAAUGGGCGAAAGCCUGAACCAGCAACGCCGCGUGUGCGAUGAAGGCCUUCGGGUUGUAAAGCACUUUUAACCGGGAAGAGGAAGGACGGUACCGGUGGAAUAAGCCUCGGCUAACUACGUGCCAGCAGCCGCGGUAAAACGUAGGAGGCGAGCGUUAUCCGGAUUUACUGGGUGUAAAGCGCGAGCAGGCGGCUCGUUAAGUUGGGUGUAAAAGCUCCCGGCUCAACUGGGAGAGGUC